UCAACUUCAACAUCUUCCCCCAUUAAACCCUUCACCUAAAUCCUAAAACACUCUCCAUUUACUGUAGAUGGAAAAACGGUGUUGUUUGGAAUGACGUCAUCAUCGUAAAAAGUGAAUUUUGAGCUUAAAGCGACUUUUUUUUUUUGUUUUGAUUGUUUUGUGAGAGAGUUAAUCAUGACUUUCACGACGUUGUUCGUCCAGUAGGGCGGAGGCUUACUUCUAUAUUGGAGACUGACAAGAAUAUGGAGAAGAGUAUUAUGAUCUCGAUAAUCACCUGUGGCAGGACGACACGAAACAUUGUAGCAGAGAGAAGGUAAGUAUACUGAUUUACCCACUUAUAAUUUGAGGAUUUGUUUGUUCAUGCAUCUGUGUGUUGGAUUUAGAUGGCUUAGUGUCCUCUUCCUUUUACCCUUUUUUGCUUAAAGAACAAACUUUUCUCAUGAAAGCAGCAGUGAAUGACACAACAAAAAUAAAAUUCUACCUUUAGCUUUUCAGUACUAUUCUUAAUUACUUAGAGAAAGUUUAAUGUGUUUGCAUAUUGUAAUAAAAAAUAAUUUUAGAUGAGUAUGUAUCACCCCAGUGAUAAUUACAAUAAAAUGGUUUGGAAAAGACUAACGUACUGGUAGAGAGUGAAUACAACUAUCUCUUACCAAAUGUAAUUUUUCCAGGGCAUGAAAGAAAAUAUCUUAUGUACUCAUGACAUUAUAUUCCUAACUCCCGGAAAUGUAGUUCUUUUUUAUCAUUUUCUAGAAUGAUUCAGUUUUCUCCUUUGUAUGUGCCAUUUAUAGGUGCAUUGUGCCUUUAUGCAAAGUGGUGGAUGGUGAAUAGGUGUCCAUUACAUCAAGAAGUGUUGAUCUUUUACCGCUUCAGAUAUCUUUAUUGCAUAUGAUACACUUUCGCCGUUUUGUAAGUGCAUGUUCACGUAAGCUAUUUUGUGGUGUUGGUUAUAGCGAAACAUGUAAGUUUUUGUGGGAUGGAGUUAUUUCAAAAAGGACAUUUAAACAAAAGAUUGAGAUACCAUAGAGACCGGAAAAACUUUGAAAUUUCAAAUAGAUUCUGGAAAGACUAAAAUGCAAGAUUUUGAGGUUGAUGCUUUAUUUUUACUUGGUCUUUUAGUACACUUGAUGCAGACACUUAGUAAUGCUUCUGUCACCACACACUCCAAAAAUCAAGAAAUUAACUCACUGAUGGUCACAUCUGUGAAUCUCAGGCUGAAGGAUAAUGGUUCUGGCAUUUGUCAAGACAUCUUGCAGGCUAAUAUUUAAGAAUUCUCUCUUCUUUUUAGUUAAAUAGAUCAAGUGUCUGUUGAUGUUAUUUGUUUUUACAGAAAAUAAUGCUACUCAUGGUGCUACCAAGUUUCCUUUAAGAUCUGCGUACACUCUAUCCUUCGCCCACUUUGUGGGAUUUCACUAGCUAUAUUGUUGUCAUCGUUGUUAUGUAAGUUUCACGAAGCAAAACCAAUUUUAAGAUGGAACACAGAAUUAGGAUUAAUUAACUAGACUUACUAGACUAACUAUAAUUCUGAAGUGGAUUGGAUGCAGAAGAUUUAUAUAUCUCUUAACUAGUUUAGGACUGACGCUCCUUUAUUACAUGUACUACCCAGGAGUGUGGUGGAAUUAGGAUUGAAGUUUUAUUGAUUGAUAGAAUAUGUUGAUAGUAAAUUCCAGUUGUUCAUAUAUCCUUUCUAAAAAAAGAUGUAUGAAAACCAGAAAUCCAGUACCCCAGAAUGCAGAAACUCAUGGAAGAAGUGAGGAGUAUUUUGGGCGUUAGAUUAGAGAAAGAAAAGUCCCUCACGAUAGUGUUGUUUUGUCCACUAAAGUCAGUGGACCAUCUGGACGAAUGUCUUGGAUUCGAAAUGGACCAGAAAGCUUGGGUGCUCAGAACAUAAUUGAGGCUAUUGACAAUAGAAAUAACCUGCGUGUGGCAAAAGAGAACAACAUUCUGUAUAUUGCUUUUCCUGCCAUAUCAUAUGGGUCUUCGGGUUAGCUUCAUGUUUCCUAUCAAUAAAAGAGACUCAAUGGUAGGUGGUUUACAGCUUUGUGAGCCAUCUCAAGGCGCAUCAUGACCUACAGGCAACACCAGCGAGACCUGAGAAAGCAACCCGAUUGGGUGUCAGAUGACCCAUAGUACCCGCAGCCUCCCGGACUUCAUAUUCAUCAUUUUGGAAAGAGAGGGACAUAUUUUUGGGUGUUAAGAGAGAUAUUGAAUCGAAAGCGGACAUGCUUGCUCACUGGCUAGAUCAGUUGUCUGUACCUUUGCUAACUCUUCUGCCUGGAAGGAAGUUUGAAAGAUGGCUGCAUUGCCGUACUUUCAUACCUUUGCAUCCUAUCUUAAGGUUCGCCCGAGCUACUUUAUUAACAAAGACAUAAACAUAAAUGAUGGUUGUCUCGAGGUUACUAUAAUAAUUCCAAUUGAAAUGAAGCAGCAGUGUUGGUAGAAACAGAACUUAAAUCUAAAGCUUCUGAUACACUAUGUAGCAUACAUAUGAUAAAGGAUAACCACGUGUUUUACAAUUAUCUUUGUAGAUUAUUCAACAUCUUACAAGAUGUAAUUAUUAUUAUUAAGUAGUGCUAAUUUAUUUUCCCAUAAUUACUCC